AUUUUUCUUGUUGGAAAUGGGUAUUACUGCUAUGUCCAUUGAGAUUAUUCAUGUUCUGUUUGGUUUGAUUGCUAUGUGAUGUUUCGAUUGAUGCCAAGACUAGUCUGUACACCCACGGGUUGGUCUGUGCAGACCCAUUGCUAUGUUCUGUUUGCAUGCUUUGUGUGUGUUUCAAUGCUAUGUGUUGUGUCAAUGCUUUGGGUUGGUCUGUACAGACCCAUUGCUAUGGUUUGUUUCAAUGAUGUGUUAUGUUUCAAUGCCAUGUGUUGUGUCAAUGCUUUGGGUUGGUCUGUGCAAACCCAUUGCUAUGUUCUAUUUCAAUGUUGUGUUAUGUUUCAAUGCCCUUGUGCUCUGUCAAUGCUUAUUUGAUGUUUCAAUGCUAUGUGUUAUGUCAAUACUUAUUUGUUAAAUGGGCUGCGAAUGCUCUUAUGUGUUGUUUCGAUGCAAUGUGUUAUUUCAAUGCUAUGUGCUGUGUUUCAAUGCU